rnacentral:rRNA from 1 species
UUGCGCCCGAAGCCGUCAGGCCGAGGGCACGUCUGCCUGGGCGUCUCAC